rnacentral:rRNA from 1 species
AGUGAACGCUGGCGGUAGGCCUAACACAUGCAAGUCGAACGGCAGCACAGUAAGAGCUUGCUCUUACGGGUGGCGAGUGGCGGACGGGUGAGGAAUACAUCGGAAUCUACUUUUUCGUGGGGGAUAACGUAGGGAAACUUACGCUAAUACCGCAUACGACCUACGGGUGAAAUCAGGGGAUCUUCGGACCUUGCGCGAUUGACUGAGCCGAUGUCGUAUUAGCUAGUUGGCGGGGUAAAGGCCCACCAAGGCGACGACCCGUACCUGGUCUCAGAUGAUGAACGGCCACGCUGGAACAGAGACACGGUCCAGACUCCUGCGGGUGGCAGCAGUGGGGAAUAUUGGACAAUGGGCGCAAGCCUGAUCCAGCAAUACCGAGUGGGUGAAGAAGGUCUUCGGGUUGUAAAGCCCUUUUGUUGGGAAAAAAAAGCAGCAGGUUAAUACCCCGAUGUUCUGACGGUACCCAAAGAAUAAGCACCGGCUAACUUCGUG